rnacentral:rRNA from 1 species
CUCCAUGGCCCUUAUAGGUGGGGCUACACACGUCAUACAAUGGCCGGUACAAAGGGCAGCAAACCCGCGAGGGGGAGCCAAUCCAUCAAAGCCGGUCGUAGUCCGGAUCGCAGUCUGCAACUCGACUGCGUGAAGUCGGAAUCGCUAGUAAUCGUGGAUCAGCAUGUCACGGUGAAUACGUUCCCGGGUCUU